rnacentral:rRNA from 1 species
AGAGUUUGAUCAUGGCUCAGGAUGAACGCUAGCGGCAGGCCUAAUACAUGCAAGUCGAACGGUAAGAUCUCGCUUGCGAGAUACACGAGUGGCGAACGGGUGCGUAACGCGUAUGCAACCUACCUUCAUCUGGAGGAUAGCCCCGAGAAAUCGGGAUUAAUACUUCAUAAUAUCCAAUUCUCACAUGUUUAUUGGAUUAAAGCUCCGGCGGUUGAAGAUGGGCAUGCGUGACAUUAGUUAGUUGGUGAGGUAACGGCUCACCAAGACCACGAUGUCUAGGGGUUCUGAGAGGAUUAUCCCCCACACUGGUACUGAGACACGGACCAGACUCCUACGGGAGGCAGCAGUAAGGAAUAUUGGUCAAUGGACGAAAGUCUGAACCAGCCAUGCCGCGUGCAGGAUGACAGCCCUAUGGGUUGUAAACUGCUUUUAUACGGGAAGAAUCCCCUGUACGUGUACAGGGUUGACGGUACCGUAUGAAUAAGCAUCGGCUAACUCCGUGCCAGCAGCCGCGGUAAUACGGAGGAUGCAAGCGUUAUCCGGAUUCAUUGGGUUUAAAGGGUGCGUAGGCGGAAUGAUAAGUUAGUGGUGAAAGCCCCCGGCUUAACCGGGGAACUGCCAUUAAUACUGUCAUUCUUGAGUAUAGUUGAAGUGGGCGGAAUGUAUCAUGUAGCGGUGAAAUGCUUAGAUAUGAUACAGAACACGGAUGGCGUAGGCAGCUUGCUAAACUAUAACUGACGCUCAGGCACGAAAGCGUGGG